GGUUGUUUGGCUGAGUGGUCUAAAGCGUCAGACUCAGAUUCUGAUCCGUAAGGGCGUGGGUUCGAACCCCACAACAACCA